rnacentral:lncRNA from 1 species
AUGAGCUUCAAUGGUCUCAUUUCCAUUAUCAGCUAUACAAAAAUAAGUCCCAGCAUCAUCCUCGGUGACAUCAUUGAUCUCCAGACUACCACCUGCCAGCAAUACCAACCUUCCAGAGCUUCCUGUGCAUUAACUGGGCUCCAUAAUGUUUCAAGCAAAAGAUCCUCGUGGGUGAGGAUUGACUGCCAGCAGAGUUCAGAAUGUGGGAUCAUAAGUGUCUUCUCAGCUGGAUUGUCUCUACUCAGUGCUCUCAUUGCACCAUGA